CAAGGAAACUAUAAUUUCCUCCUUCACCUUAUUAGUCUCUUCCUUACAGCAAUUCAGUCAUACCAAUAACUAAUAGUUCCACUAAUAUAUUCACCCUCAUAAUCUCCAACUAUAAUACUGUGCCCUCACAGCUUUCAGCACACAAUUACCCUCAUUCUAAGCACUGGAAUUCUUCACACUGAACUGCCAUUCACAUUAUGGUGUUUCACACAAACACAGACUCAUUCUCUUUGCUAAACUACAAUCAGAUUUCAGUAUUCAAUCUUUCUUCUUCUCAAAUAAUACCAAUCACAUUUCCAUUCCAUAAUUCACUUCACAAUAUUUAGAAACUCUUAAUCCUCUUAUUCAAAGAAAAUAACAAACAAAAGAAAAGAGGUAGCACCAAGCUUAUCUCGGCUCACAACUAUCACAGUGAUGGCACUUUAAUUAUCUUCUAUAACUCCUAUAUACUUUCCCCUG
rnacentral:lncRNA from 1 species